AUACGGAGGGUGCAAGCGUUGUUCGGAAUCACUGGGCGUAAAGGGCGCGCAGGCGGUUUGGUAAGUCAGAUGUUAAAGCCCACGGCUCAACCGUUGAAGUGCAUUUGAAACUGUCAGACUUGAGUACUAGAGGGGAAAGUGGAAUUCCCGGUGUAGAGGUGAAAUUCGUAGAUAUCGGGAGGAAUACCGGUGGCGAAGGCGACUUUCUGGCUAGAUACUGACGCUGAGGCGCGAAAGCGUGGGGAGCAAACAGGAUUAGAUACCCUAGUAGUCC
rnacentral:rRNA from 1 species